CGUUUGGCAGGCGCAGUCGGCUGUGUGUGUCAGCGGCCCGGUACCUGCGGGUAGGGCAGAGUUUUGGUCAGGAUGGUAGUCCGAGCGUGGACCCUGGAGCGUGGAAAGCCACGUGUUGGAUCGUGAGAUCGAGGACACACUGGGUGUGUAGUUACCCAACCCGAGGAUUGUAAGCAUUGAACCUUUCGGCGCGUGUGGAUGAUCGGUUGAUCGGGUGUGUCGUUUCGAACGCCCUACCCCGUGAGAUGGUUCUGUGUGCCAACAAAUAGAUUGGCCUUCCUUGGUGUGGA
rnacentral:lncRNA from 1 species